rnacentral:rRNA from 1 species
UGGGGUAUAUUGCACAAUGGGCGCAAGCCUGAUGCAGCAACGCCGCGUGAACGAUGACGGUCUUCGGAUCGUAACGUUCUGUUGCAGGGGAAGAUAAUGACGGUACCCUGUGAGGAAGCCCUGGCUAACUACGUGCCAGCAGCCGCGGUAAUACGUAGGGGGCUAGCGUUAUCCGGAUUUACUGGGCGUAAAGGGUGCGUAGGUGGUCUUUCAAGUCGGUGGUUAAAGGCUACGGCUCAACCGUAGUUAGCCUCCGAAACUGGAAGACUUGAGUGCAGGAGAGGAAAGUGGAAUUACCAGUGUAGCGGUGAAAUGCGUAGAUAUUGGGAGGAACACCAGUAGCGAAGGCGGCUUUCUGGACUGCAACUGACACUGAGGCACGAAAGCGUGGGUAGCAAACAGA